rnacentral:sRNA from 1 species
GCAACCGCAGCCCAGCCCCAGUCAGGGAGGAAGUUCUGCCGGGCGCUCUCCGCCGGUGCCUCACUGGUUAUACUGCUAUACAGGAAACCUGGCAGCGCCGGAGCCGCGCGGUCGAGGAGGGAGCGCGGGACGCCGAGCCCACGCGCGCCUGCCGGGACAAGUGGAGACGAGGCCGGCGAGCGGACGCCCCGAGGUUGGCGAAGGAGCUGUGGCCGGGUCCCCUUCUUAUCCAGCCCGAGACACUGCGCUCCGGUGGGCGUCCCUGCGCUGGGAAUCCCGCUCGGAGUUUUUCCAGGCCCGGCCGGGUUGCUCCGGGAAAGGCCCUGUUGGGGGAGGUGGGCCCGGAGCUGUCAGGUCUACAAUCCGGUUGGAAGGGCUCGCAGUGGGUGAUUCAGGGUGCCAAUGACCUCCCCACGAACGGGAACGCCCGCACUAGACAACCAGCCCCAGACCGGCAUUCCCAGAGCCGCAGGCGGGAGGGACGCAGGGACUCCGGGACAGCAAAUCCCCGGGGGAGAAGGGAAGGGGGAAGGCGGGGCAGGGGAGGCCCACCCUCCUUGGGCUCCGCUAGCGACCAGCCAGCGCCCCUUCAGACGCAGCCUUCCUGGCUCCGGAUCCCGGCUUUCUGCUCCGGUCCUCGUCCCAAUGCCCCCCAAGGUCCCCAGCAGAGGCAUUCAGGUUCCUCCUCGCCCCGCCCAGACGCAGCUUCUUUGGGUAUGGGUGACAGCACUCCUGAGCGUCGCUGUCCCUAUUCGCUGCCGUUGCCAGCUCCGAUUCCGCGAAACCUCUCCGGCACCACCUCGGAAGCCCCGCCCAGGGCGAUGGUCCGGGCCUAACCUGCCGGCCCCGCCCACCCGGCCCUUGGGCUCCCUGAGGCCCGCCCAGCAGACACCGGAGAGCAAUGGUGUGAUCUCCGCACACUGCAACCUCUGCCGCCAGGGUUCAAGUGGUUCUCCUGCCUCAGCCUCCCAAGCAGAUGGGACUACAGCUUUCUCCCUUUGUCUCAUAACCAUGUCCACCAACGAGAAUGCUAAUACACGAGCUGCCCACCUUCACAGAUUUAAGAACAAGGGAAAGGACAGUACAGAAACGAGGCGUCACAGAAUAGAGGUCAGUGUGGAGCUGAGGAAAGCUAAGAAGGAUGACCAGAUGCUGAAGAGGAGAAAUGUAAGCUCAUUUCCUGAUGAUGCUACUUCUCCGCUGCAGGAAAACUGCAACAACCAGACUCCUGCCCUAAGAGCCAUAGGGAAUAUUGUCACUGGUACAGAUGAACAGACUCAGGUUGUGAUUGAUGCAGGAGCACUCGCCGUCUUUCCCAGCCUGCUCGCCAACCCCAAAACUAACAUUCAGAAGGAAGCUACGUGGACAAUGUCAAACAUCACAGCCGGCCGCCAGGACCAGAUACAGCAAGUUGUGAAUCAUGGAUUAGUCCCAUUCCUUGUCAGCGUUCUCUCUAAGAUUUUGAGACACAAAAGGAAGCUGUAUGGGCCGUGGAACAGUUGAACAGAUUGUGUACCUUGUUCACUGUGGCAUAAUAGAACCGUUGAUGAACCUCUUACCUGCAAAAGAUACCAAGAUUAUUCUGGUUAUCCUGGAUGCCAUUUCAAAUAUCUUUCAGGCUGCUGAGAAACUAGGUGAAACUGAGAAACUUAGUACAAUGAUUGAAGAAUGUGGAGGCUUAGACAAAAUUGAAGCUCUACAAAACCAUGAAAAUGAGUCUGUAUAUAAGGCUUCAUUAAGCUUAACUGAGAAGUAUUUCUCUGUAGAGCUGCCAGAGCAGAGCUAAGCCACCCAUUGCUGGAGAGGACAUCCACGCAGGCCUGGACGAGCCGGACUGCCUUACUAAGGAUUUCCUCCGUAUCCGACUGCAACUCAGCACUCAGCUGCAUGCGGGACAGGAAGAGGAAGAUCAAAACGUUGUGCCAGAAACUACCUCUGAAGGCUACACUUUCCAAGUUCAGGAUGGGGCUCCUGGGACCUCUAACUUUUAGAUCAUGUAGCUGAGACAUAAAUUUGUUGUGUACUAUGUUUGGUAUUUUGUCUUAUUGUUUCUCUACUAAGAACUCUUUCUUAAAUGUGGUUUGUUAUUGUAGCACUUUUCACACUGAAACUAUACUUGAACAGUUCCAACUGUACAUACUGUAUGAAGCUUGUCCUCUGACUAGGUUUCUAAUUUCUAUGUGGAAUUUCCUAUCUUGCAGCAUCCUGUAAAUAAACAUUCAAGUCCACCCUUUUCUUGACUUC